rnacentral:snRNA from 1 species
AGCUUUGCGCAGUGGCAGGAUCGUAGCCAAUGAGGUUUAUCCGAGGCGCGAUUAUUGCUAUUUUCUCCCUAAUAUUUACUAUAUCUUAAAAUUAUAUUUAUUUGACUGAAUAACUUCU